rnacentral:rRNA from 1 species
GGGAGGGGUGCUAACGUUGCUCGGAAUUACUGGGCGUAAAGCGCAUGUAGGCGGACUAAUAAGUCUCGUGUGAAAGCCCUGGGCUCAACCCAGGAAGUGCGCGGGAAACUAUUAAUCUAGAGUAUGGUAGGAGUGGGCGGAGUCCCCGGUGUAGAGGUGAAAUUCGUAGAUAUCGGGAGGAACACCAGUAGCGAAGGCGGUUCACUAGGCCAACACUGACGCUGAGAUGCGAAAGCGUGGGGAGCAAACAGGAUUAGAUACCCUGGUAGUCCACGCCGUAAACGAUGGAUACUAGGUGUUGGGGGCUUGACCCCUUCAGCGCCGAAGCUAACGCAUUAAGUAUCCCGCCUGGGGAGUACGGUCGCAAAGACUA